UCUGUGUUUUAGAAUAGAGACCAGGAGGAACAGGCUGAAAAGAACAGGAGAGACCAGCCCAAGUCACGGCCUUCAGGCCAGCAGACCCCAGGGGCUCAAAUGAGGGAAAGGCUCGGGUUAGCCUCCAGUCUGGCAGAACUUGUUACCAGUACAGUCUGAAGGGACAUUUUAUAAGAAAUUGUCCCCAGAGAAUGGAUCAUCAUCUCGUCUGUGCCCGCUGUGCGAAGGGAGUCACUGGAAAGCACACUGUCCCAGGGAAUGAAGGUCCCCAGGGCCUGAGGUAUCUGACCAGAUGACCCAACGGCAGGACUAAGGGUGCCUGGACAGUUAAGGUGGUGGGAAUUGACUUGUGGAUUCAUCACACUCGGCUGAAGCCUUGGACACCUCCUGAGGAAAGUCAGAGACCCUCCGCUCUGCAGCCUGAAGAUCCAGGAGACAACCCUUCAUCCACCUGCAAGCCCUUAGAGGAUCUACCUCUGCUUUUCCAACAAGAUCCUCAGGGAAGUAACCACGCAUCAGUCUAAUUUAUAUCCUGGCAUUAACAGGACUAUAACCCUCAACCUUGAUAUCUCUCGAACUCUGAGCAUCCUUUUCAUAGUGGGAAGGGAACCUGCCUCUUUCUAGGAAAAAUGCUGCUAUUUUGUAAACCAGUUAAGUAUUGUUUUAAACAUAGAACUCAGGAAUCAAUCAAACACAGGGCUAAAAAUCUUCCAAACACAGUACUGUAAAGCUUAACAACUGACUGUCCUGGCUCUGCUCUCCUAGUCUCGUUUAUAACCAGUCUAUAUUUGCUGGCCUCUGGGCUUUUCAUCUUUAACCACCUUGUCACGUUCAUUUCCUAUAGAACCAUAAGGUCACGAAUAAUCCUGCCACUGGAACCCAGGAUGUCUUUGGCUCAUGAGCUCUAUCAUGGACCUCAGGAUCAGCCUGCACCCCUGAAAGGCUCCCCUCUGGAGGAAACCUCAACUGCAGGGCCCCUUCUACACCCUAUUUCAGCAGGAAGUAGUUAAAGAGGAUCGACACCCAUGUUCCAACAGAAGUUGGGAUUUCCUGUUCAGAUGGGGGCGCAGGAAGAAGCUAAGAGUCAAUCACCCCAGCAGAAGUUCUAAGGAACUCCUUUCAUUGGCCCGGGGUCUUAGAGAAGUGUGGAAGCUGCUUUCCUCUCCUGGAUUCCAUCUUUCUGGAUUCUCUCACUCAGCAUGAGAGUCAGCUGUUUCCUUCUCUCUCCUUCUCCUGUUUCUCUCUCUAAAUAAAUCGCUUUCUACAAACACUUUUAAAUCUGACAUUUACUGCGCCCUGCGCCAUGGUCCCCUUUCUCAUUCUUGAGAGGGCAGGAAACCAAGAACCUGGAGAAACAUUCUCUCAGAGGAACUGAGGGCACCCUGAACCCCAGUAUUACAAAACCUUUUCCAGGGACCUUGCUGAAAAUUGCCUACCUGAAUUUCCUGCCAGUGCUCUUGCCCUGCCUAUUGGAACACCCUAAACCCAGGCUGAUCCUCUUUGGAUUUGACUGCUGGACUGUACCACCUCCUAUUGACUAUUGUCACACCUCCAGGACCAGACUUCCUCCCUGCAUCUGCAUUUGGGUCUAUUCUUCCAGAGAUCAAUUUCACCCCAAGGUUGGUUUGCAUUCUAGAUCUGGGAUCUAGGCACCCCCCAGGCUACUCCAAUCAGUAGUUGUUAAUAACAGUUGGAGCCAGACUUUUCAUGUUCUCAUCCUUGUUCUGCCACUGCUACAGUUUGGAUGUGGUUUGUUUGUCCCCACCAAAACUCAUGUUGAAAUUUCAUGCCUAAUGAGAAGGUACUUGGGGGUGGGCCUAGAGGAAGGUGUUUGAAGGAAAAUUCCUCAAGUGGCUCCGCUCUGUUUUGCAGGAGUGAGCAAGGGACAUGCCUCAGGGCCAUGCCCUUGAACUUCUCAGCCACAGAACCAUUACCUAAAUAAACCUCUUUUCUUAAAAAUUACCCAAUCUCAAGGUUGUCUCUUGUAGCAACACAAAAUGGACAAAUACAGUAACUUUUAACCUCUUUGACCUUUGGUGAGUUCCUUAAACUCUCUGUGUCAUUGUAAAAUGAAGAUAACAAUAGUGUCUAUCUCAUAAAGUAUUUUGUUUUGUUUUGUAAAGUGCUAAGACAGUGCCAGGCACAUAGAAAGCAUUCUAUAAAUGUUAACCAUUAUUAUUAUUUAGCAUCUUGAAGGCUUCUCAAUGUACAAACUAAAAUGUGCUGUACCAUUUUGAGUCCUGUGCAACCCUGAUUGAUGUCAAUCCAGUUUCAAAUUUGCAUAAAUAAAUCAUUUCAGAGAGAGAAAGAGAUAGAGAACGUUUUUCUUAGGUACAUUGGUACAACUUCUAAAGACCUUGCUAGUUUAAUCCCAGACUGUGCUUACUUACUAACUCUGUUUUGGACUCUGAGGCUAGUUGGCUUGAUUCUCAUCUGUUUUCUCAGUCUUGGCUAUUACCGUAUUGGCUAGAUGUUUCCUAUUAUUUGCUGCUGGGUCCUGUUACCAAGCUUUGCCUCCUAAAGUCAAGUUCCAAAUACCAGGUCCUGGAGCUGAGCUGAGCUCAAUCCCAGUCAGACAGAUUGGAGUAGGCAGGAAUUGGGGAACUACAGUGCUCAUUUUUAGGUAUUUUUGUUUGUGCCAUUUGGUCCCUUCUUCAUUUGCUUUCACAAUAAGUUUAUUUUCUUAAUUGCCUUGUUACUGCCUGAAAUAGGACCAUCAAUAAAGAACAGUGGUGUAGGGUUUUUUUCUGGAAAAGAUGGAGGUGCUUUUGCUGGUCCAAUUUGUUACUGUUGUUUUAUUUUGUAUUAUACCUGUUCCCAAAGGCACACAUUCAGUAUUGUAUUUAGGUUUUGUGAACACCGAAUGGAGAGGUUUAAUUAAGAACACUUUUCAGAAACAGCCUUGUAGCAUAACACAGAGGUUCCAUUGCCUCCUUCUCACUCACAGUGGUGAUCCCCCAACCCCUCCUUUUAUCACUUCAUUAUCUCAAGCCAAAAGUUGAUUUGGUCAAUUUCCUGUUUGAGUGUAAGCCAAUCUCUUGAAGUUAUUUCAGUAUUGUGGCACUUAAAACACAAGGUUUCCCUGUUAAAUUUCCACCAUUUUAACACUUCAUCUAUUGUUUCUUUUUCUCCUAAUGACAAGCACCAAUGAAUAUUUUCAAGUCUACUACUUAAUAUAACCCCAUGUGUUUUUGAUACCCUAAACUCCACUAGUCUGUGUUGAUAGUGACUAAUCCUCAGAACUGUUAAAACAUUCUGUGCAAAUAGAGGUACAUCAGAGGAAUUUUUUUAUGUGAAUACUUUAUUUAGGGAGCCACUUCUUUCCUGUAUUUGCUUGUUCAAACUUUCCAUUUCAACGUGUUUUGAAAUACUGUCAAAUGACAUAAAUCAGAGUUUCCUUUUUCAGUUUUAUUAAUCUAGUUUGAUAAAAUGGCACCAAAAUUGUUGAUUUAACAUUCCCAAGUGUAGCUAUCUUUGAUAUGAAAACACCUAACCUUUUGUCAGUUUCGGAGUUGUAAAGAAAAGUCAUUUUGUUCAGUCUCCUUGCUUUAUCCCUGGGGAAACUGAGUGUCAGAGGAGUUAUGUGAUUUGGUCAGGAUCAUGCAUUUAGUUAGUGAGACAACGGUAUUUUUUAGUUUGUAUUUUUAAUUAUUAUAAGUACAUAAUAUUUCUAUAUAUUUAUGGGAUAUGUAUAAUGUUUUGAUAUCGGUGUAUAAUGUAUAAUGAUCAAAUCAGGAAAAUUGGGGUGUCCAUUAUCUCAAACCUUGAUUAUUUCUUUGUGUUAGAAACAUUCUAAUUCCAUUCUUUUAGUGAUUUUAAAAUACACAAUAAAUUGUGUAAG